rnacentral:tRNA from 1 species
UGGGUUUGUGGUCUAGUUGGUUAUGACACCUCCUUGACAUGGAGGAGGCCGGCAGUUCAAAUCUGCCCAAACCCAU